GACCUGGUGGUGAAAAAUGUUAUCACACCCACUGUCCAUAAUUGUUUCAUCGCUUUCAUCGAAAGUGGGAGUCCCUUGUUCGAAGCAAGGCCGGGUCA